rnacentral:rRNA from 1 species
AUGAACGCUGGCGGCGUGCCUAAUACAUGCAAGUCGAGCGAACAGAUGAGGAGCUUGCUCCUCUGACGUUAGCGGCGGACGGGUGAGUAACACGUGGAUAACCUACCUAUAAGACUGGGAUAACUUCGGGAAACCGGAGCUAAUACCGGAUAAUAUAUUGAACCGCAUGGUUCAAUAGUGAAAGACGGUUUUGCUGUCACUUAUAGAUGGAUCCGCGCCGCAUUAGCUAGUUGGUAAGGUAACGGCUUACCAAGGCGACGAUGCGUAGCCGACCUGAGAGGGUGAUCGGCCACACUGGAACUGAGACACGGUCCAGACUCCUACGGGAGGCAGCAGUAGGGAAUCUUCCGCAAUGGGCGAAAGCCUGACGGAGCAACGCCGCGUGAGUGAUGAAGGUCUUCGGAUCGUAAAACUCUGUUAUUAGGGAAGAACAAAUGUGUAAGUAACUAUGCACGUCUUAACGGUACCUAAUCAGAAAGCCACGGCUAACUACGUG